GACGAGCGCUGGCGGCGUGCCUAAUACAUGCAAGUCGAGCGCAGGAAACUGACGGAACUCUUCGGAGGGAAGGCAGUGGAAUGAGCGGCGGACGGGUGAGUAACACGUAAGGAACCUGCCUCAAGGAUUGGGAUAACUCCGAGAAAUCGGAGCUAAUACCGGAUAGUUCAUCGGACCGCAUGGUCCGUUGAUGAAAGGCGCUUCGGCGUCACCUUGAGAUGGCCUUGCGGUGCAUUAGCUAGUUGGUGGGGUAACGGCCCACCAAGGCGACGAUGCAUAGCCGACCUGAGAGGGUGAUCGGCCACACUGGGACUGAGACACGGCCCAGACUCCUACGGGAGGCAGCAGUAGGGAAUCUUCCACAAUGGACGAAAGUCUGAUGGAGCAACGCCGCGUGAGUGAUGAAGGUCUUCGGAUCGUAAAACUCUGUUGUAAGGGAAGAACACGUACGAGAGGGAAUGCUCGUACCUUGACGGUACCUUACGAGAAAGCCACGGCUAACUACGUGCCAGCCGCCGCGGUAA
rnacentral:rRNA from 1 species